rnacentral:rRNA from 1 species
GNGAAGUCCCCGGGCUCAACCNGGGAACUGCGUUCUGAACUGGGUGACUAGAGUGUGUCAGAGGGAGGUAGAAUUCCACGUGUAGCAGUGAAAUGCGUAGAGAUGUGGAGGAAUACCGAUGGCGAAGGCAGCNUCCUGGGAUAACACUGACGUUCAUGCCCGAAAGCGUGGGUAGCAAACAGGAUUAGAUACCCUGGUAGUCCACGCCCUAAACGAUGUCGAUUAGCUGUUGGGCGGCAUGACUGCUUAGUAGCGAAGCUAACGCGUGAAAUCGACCGCCUGGGGAGUACGGUCGCAAGAUUAAAACUCAAAGGAAUUGACGGGGACCCGCACAAGCGGUGGAUGAUGUGGAUUAAUUCGAUGCAACGCGAAGAACCUUACCUGGUCUUGACAUGUACGGAACCCUCCAGAGACGGAGGGGUGCCUUCGGGAGCCGUAACACAGGUGCUGCAUGGCUGUCGUCAGCUCGUGUCGUGAGAUGUUGGGUUAAGUCCCGCAACGAGCGCAACCCUUGUCAUUAGUUGCCAUCAUUAAGUUGGGCACUCUAAUGAGACUGCCGGUGACAAGCCGGAGGAAGGUGGGGAUGACGUCAAGUCCUCAUGGCCCUUAUGACCAGGGCUUCACACGUCAUACAAUGGUCGGUACAGAGGGUAGCCAAGCCGCGAGGUGGAGCCAAUCUCACAAAACCGAUCGUAGUCCGGAUUGCACUCUGCAACUCGAGUGCAUGAAGUCGGAAUCGCUAGUAAUCGCAGGUCAGCAUACUGCGGUGAAUACGUUCCCGGGUCUUGUACACACCGCCCGUCACACCAUGGGAGUGGGGGAUACCAGAA